GUUGAACGCUGGCGGCAUGCCUUACACAUGCAAGUCGAACGGCAGCGCGGGAGCAACCCUGGCGGCGAGUGGCGAACGGGUGAGUAAUAUAUCGGAACGUGCCCUAGAGUGGGGGAUAACUAGUCGAAAGAUUAGCUAAUACCGCAUACGAUCUACGGAUGAAAGUGGGGGAUCGCAAGACCUCAUGCUCGUGGAGCGGCCGAUAUCUGAUUAGCUAGUUGGUAGGGUAAAAGCCUACCAAGGCCACGAUCAGUAACUGGUCUGAGAGGACGACCAGCCACACUAGGACUGAGACACGGCCCAGACUCCUACGGGAGGCAGCAGUGGGGAAUUUUGGACAAUGGGGGAAACCCUGAUCCAGCAAUGCCGCGUGUGUGAAGAAGGCCUUCGGGUUGUAAAGCACUUUUGUCCGGAACGAAACGGGCCGAGCUAAUAUCUUGGCCUAAUGACGGUACCGGAAGAAUAAGCACCGGCUAACUACGUGCCAGCCGCCGCAGUAA
rnacentral:rRNA from 1 species